GACGAACGCUGGCGGCGUGCUUAACACAUGCAAGUCGAACGGAAAGGCCCUGCCUUUGUGGGGUGCUCGAGUGGCGAACGGGUGAGUAACACGUGAGUAACCUGCCCUUGACUUUGGGAUAACUUCAGGAAACUGGGGCUAAUACCGGAUAGGAGCUCCUGCUGCAUGGUGGGGGUUGGAAAGUUUCGGCGGUUGGGGAUGGACUCGCGGCUUAUCAGCUUGUUGGUGGGGUAGUGGCUUACCAAGGCUUUGACGGGUUGCCGGCCUGAGAGGGUGACCGGCCACAUUGGGACUGAGAUACGGCCCAGACUCCUACGGGAGGCAGCAGUGGGGAAUAUUGCACAAUGGGCGGAAGCCUGAUGCAGCAACGCCGCGUGCGGGAUGACGGCCUUCGGGUUGUAAACCGCUUUCGCCUGUGACGAAGCGUGAGUGACGGUAAUGGGUAAAGAAGCACCGGCUAACUACGUG
rnacentral:rRNA from 1 species